UCGAUUUUGAGAAAAGAAGUACGAUCGGCUUCCUUACAAAGUAGACUCGAUAGAAAAAUUAAAGUUUCUCCUUCGCCCAAUCAAAAAACAGCUGUAGACUUGCGAUUCUGCCUUGUGCGUCCUCUAUUUAGUCGCUUCGAAAAGCAGGGUAGAUGAAUUUAUUGAAAAGUUUUAAUAGUUCCAAACACGAAACCUGAAUUGAAAUAUUUUAGUGAUCUUAUUCUUUUCGGAGUGUCUUAAAUUAGUUUAGUCAAAUGCCGCGUAAUAAUUGGUUUUAUAAUUCUUGUAGCUCUUAGUUGCAAAUAUAGUUUUAUAAUGGACCAUUUGAAUUUUAGAAGUCGCUAUUGUUGCGCUUGAUUUGUGAAAGUAAAACGUGUAAAAUGAUAACGAUCAGUUGUGCAACCAGUAUUAUUAUGGUAAUUUGUAAAAAUUGUGCGUAUUAUGUAUUGUGACAAUUUUACAGUGUAACUGAGAACUGAAGGAAAGAAAUAUAUGCUACUUACCGUUCGUAGGUAACCUUAGAGAUGAAGCACAGAAAUUUUUAAUUCAAAUUCAAAUUUUCGAAUUCAAAUCCAAAUUUAUAUUUCACUAUUGAAAAAUCUUGUUUUAAAUUUUCACAAUUUUGUAUUGUUAUAUUAUUUGACAUUGUAUCAUAUUAUAUAUGCAUAUUAUAUAGAUAAUAUAACCACAGUUAUAUAAUAUUAUUAUAAUAUUUGCUGGAACACUUGACUUUUCCAAAUAAUCGUUUAUUCGUGUACGUCUUGUGUCGAGCAAGAAACAAAACACUACAAAUUUCUUACGGCUAUUUGAUCCGAGGUUGCCAUAUUUCGUUAAUCGAGGAAGUUUUCACGGCGUACAAUAUUUCGAAUUUGCGCGCUGCUUCAAUCAAACGAGAAACCAUUCUGUUUCAACCAAUAGGAAAGCAGCUAGGCGACGCUACGGCGCGAGACACCACUCUGCUGUCGAAAAUCGAGACGUCAAGAAGUAUCACUUUUUGAAGUCAUUUCUACUACGAAAUACUGGAUAGUAUUCUCCGUGUAAUUCUAUCUUUGUUUGCAAUCUAGUAUUAGAUCAUUGGCUGAUUGCACUAAUGGCUUUGAAAGAAUGGGGGUUUGCAGUAUACACAUUACGAACGAUGAAUAGUUAAUUUGACCAUUUUGAAUACAGAUUUCACAACGCUUGAUUUAUUACAACAAAGGCAGACAUGAGCGCGGCCCAUGAAUAUUUUCCGUGGAACUACGUUAUUGAACGCGUACAGCUUUCGCUGUCCGCGCAUAAACUCCUCCAAUGAUUUGCCGCUGGUGAAAAAAAAAAAAAAAAAAAGGAAGAGAAAGAGCAAUGGCAAAGGUGGAAUCACGUGUACGCCGACACCGGCGGCGUUCUUCGCACACCGCCUGCUACCAACCGACAGAGAGAAAAAACGAGCAAGACGACAGGAUGCGGCGGACGUCCUUCCUGCAACUGUUUUCGACGAUCAACCGUGAGGAACGAUAACAAUAAUAAAUAUAAACGCGAUGUUUACAAGUAGGUACAUAUUUAUUUACCGUCACCCGUUAGAGUCUCGGUGAUGGAAUUCGACGAGGGUUUUAUUCUAAGUCGUCUACGUGUACGAUGUUUAACAAGUACUUAUUCGUCAAGAGUUGUCACCUUCCGGAUCAUGGAAUUCGAUGUAACGCUGGAGAAAUUUCUAUCAAGAUUUAUUCUAUGUCGAUAACGAGGCAGAGUGUCGCGGUUCUUACUAUAAAAUAUCGGGGCAAGUGAUUCAUUCGCGUCUCCAAUAAAUAGUUACAAUCGCGUUGCGUCGUAUCACGACGAACCGACACCUAACGAAACCGUGGGUCGUCGAAAACCCAAGUUUAUCAACAUCGGAUUAUAGAGAUGCGUGUGAAAACGAAGCUGGUUGCUCGAUAACUGGCGACGCAACGUUAUGAAUCGGAAUUACGCUCGUUUCACUUUGCGCUCGGCGGGACAAUCUACCGGGCCGGUAUUUAUUAAUUCAACGACGAUGUUUAAUUUACGAAACCCGUUGUCAGCGAUACGAAUCGAUCGAUGUCGAACGCAACUGAUAUCUCGCCGACUCGAUAACCUAUCAGAGACAAAAUCAUAACCGAUCCUCUGGUCGUUCUUUCGCUCGACGCUGCAAUUACGUGUUUAUUUGCUUCGGACGAUCGCGACGACGUUCAAUCGACGAUCGCGUAAAUCUCGCAACGGCUGAGAAAGAAGAAUUUGGAACGUUGACUUGCAGCAUUGACGGACACUGUUCGGCUCUUAGCUGGUGAGUUACGAGGCGACGAAACGAUUCCGUGGACUCGGUUCGUUCCGAGAGGCGAUAAAUUUGCGAAAAUGAUCGAUCCGUCAUCGCGUUACGAGUCGUUGGCCACCUCGUAGCCGGUCUGUCGCCGUAGCGAGCAGUAAGACGCGAAUCGCGAGGGAAUGGAACCGCGAGAAGCCUAUUUGGAAUAUUAAUUUGUAAAAAUAUCCGCGAUCCAACCGUCGCAGAGCUGGAAGAAAGGAGAUUAUCGUCGACUCUUUUCAGUGCUACGACACGGAACAAAGAGCUAAAAGUGGAUCUUUCUGUAAGCGUAAGUCCGAACAAACGUAUAGAUUUGCUGUCGUUGUGAGACGCUUACGUUAUAAUACAUGGAACGAGCAUACGCGUAAACGAUCUUCAACUAGCGCAUUUGCAUCAGACGUACUUACGCGUCUGACGCUUAUAGGAAAUUCUACAUUAACGGCUCUGCGAAUUUAUAACUGCGACGAAAAAGACAUUCGUCCUUUGUAGGAUCGUAAAAACGAGCAAACGUCCAAAGCAUACAUCGCGACAUCUCGUAAAUAAAAUGAACAGCUAUGUGCAUUAGGUAAGAAAUAAACGACUGUUCGUUUCUAAUUAAUCAGAGGCAUGCUUUCUUUCGUUUCUACGAUUAUUUAUCAUCUGUCCAUCGACAAUUUGUUAUUCUCUUCUCGAUAAAAGUCUCAUCGUUACGACUUUAAACUCAACUGUCAGACAAACCGCGUUACGUAUGGAACGACUCGACAUAUUUCACGAGAUUUUACGAAACUAAUUUCAAACUUGAACUAACUUCAGUUCGUAAAUUGACAUGAACAAACAUUUCGCAAGUUAUAACGUUGUAAUUCUUUGCGUUGACACGCGUUCGUCUAUCACGCGAACUAUAUGAACAGAGAACUAUAUGAAUCUCGUUAAGCGAGAUUGGCGAUUGAAACACAGUUAGGUUUUUCCUCGCGACUCGUGGAAAACUCUCAAAGACGGAGGUGGAAAAGGC